rnacentral:tRNA from 1 species
GGCCUCGUGGCGGAGUGGUCACGCAGAGGACUGCAAAUCCUUGUACGGGGGUUCGAUUCCCUCCGAGGCCUCCA